UACGUAGGGGGCUAGCGUUGUCCGGAAUCAUUGGGCGUAAAGCGCGCGUAGGCGGCCCGGUAAGUCCGCUGUGAAAGUCCAGGGCUCAACCCUGGAAUGCCGGUGGAUACUGCCGGGCUAGAGUCCGGAAGAGGCGAGUGGAAUUCCUGGUGUAGCGGUGGAAUGCGCAGAUAUCAGGAGGAACACCAAUAGCGAAGGCAGCUCGCUGGGACGUGACUGACGCUGAGACGCGAAAGCGUGGGGAGCAAACAGG
rnacentral:rRNA from 1 species